UGCAGGUCCAUCAGGAACCGUGGCUCCAGGAUGCAAGGGUCAGCCCUCCUCCAUGCCGUGCGCCUGGGCAGGGCAGCCCAGGGCCCAGUGCAGGUCAGCCAGUUUUAUGGACUCUGGCUCCUGCUCCUGUAAAAAGACACCAAACAGAGCUGUCCCCCUAACCUGCCCAAGAGGCCACUUCCUGCAGCCCCACCCCUCAGGGGCGAAGUCUCAGAGGUGGCGCUGGUGACUCCACUUGGCAGCCUGGGCCUUGGUGGCCUCCUGUGUCGACCCUCUGCCAGCCCUGUGUAGACUCAGCUUCGGGGCGGGGUCUCGGGACAGGCGUGCACGACCUUCACCGGCAGACCCCGGUCUGCAUUUUCAGUCCAAGCAGUCUCUUCACAGGGACAAAUAGUAGCAGAUGUUUCCCCAGGACCCAGCCGACAGCACUUGGUCGUAGAUCUUCAGAACGAAGCCAAAGUGUCCGCUUCUGUUUUCCCACACGCAUUCGCAUCCCCCACAUGAAACCACAGGAGGCCGCGGGGCAGCCAGGCAGCCAGGGCGGGUGGCGCCAUGGACGCCACUCUGAGGCUCUGCUCUGGAGGUGGACCGAGGUGGCCAGAUGAUAGGACGGCAGGCUGAGACGGCUCUUCCCUGCAGGUAACAGGUUUUCUGGAGAGAGCCAGUGGAUACAGAUUGGGGUCCCCAAAGCCCACUGUGACCUGCCAUGGGGUCCUGGAAGAGCAGCUCCUGGCUCCCCACUCCCUGGUUCUGUCUUCUCAGCACCCCCGCCCCUGUCCCUCCACAGGGCAGAGCUUCUUGGGCCUUGGUCCCUCCUCUGUGAGCAUCUCACACCAGUAGACUCCAGCUAGAAAUAAAAAGAGAGCCGGAUGGAAACCAAAUGGAGGAAACACUGGAAAAAGGAGACGAGAAGAUGCAUUUUUGCCCUGGGGGGUGUGCUCCCCCUCCCCUGUCCAGAGGGCCCUCGAGCCCACUGCUUUGUUCUGGGAAAAGGAGCUUGUGAUGGAACCCGCCUUUCCCAUCCUCCUCCAGGUGGAUACCCAUCUCUGCCCACACUGGUGCCGCACUGGCUCUCCCAGCGCCCGGCUUCACAUCUUCCCACCCAGAGAGCAUCGUGGUUUCCAGCUCAACCCAAAGCCCUACAACUGGACCUCACCUGUCAUCAGGGGGACCUCACUAGUGAUCAGAAGGGCCUCACCUGGCAUCAGAGGAGCCUUACCUGUCGUCAGGGGGGCCUCAUUUGUCAUCAGGGAGGCCUCACCUGUUGUCCUGGGACCCUCACCUGUCACGUGAGGGACCUCGUCUGUUGUCAGAGGGCCUCACCUGUCAUCACAGAUAUGUCACCCAGUCUCCCACCUCCCUCACUCCACCACACACCCCCAUCUGCAUUUUCAAUGGGCGCGCCUGUGAAACUAAGCCAGUCUCAGAAAGAAUAAAACAUCCAUUUUAAUCGACCAGUAAAAUACAUCGCAAAUCAUUAGUAUCUUACAAACAGAAACACUGAGUUACAAAUCCGUGUUGAAAAUUGCAGUUCAGGGCAGCCUCAUAGUCGUGUGCUCUGAGUUUCCUUUUGGCAACAUUUCUUCCACCAUUUUUGUGACAACAGGUAAUGUUACUCUCUGCCACUUGGGUUAGGAGUCUGAACAAUGACAGGCGCAGAGCACCUGGUCCUACGGGGCCUUUCCGAAGUCGGGCUGCAGUCAAGGACUGUUAGGGAGUCAGCAAUGGCUCAUGAGGGUCCCCAGCCCCAGGAGCAAACUGGGCAGACAGCCCCCAGCGGCUUCAGACGGUGAACAUGGCUCCUGGCCCCAGUGUCCCCGGCAUCGGCAGGCCCAGGAGUCCCCUCCCCCCUACUCCCUGGAGGCCCUUUACUCGGCUGCGUGAGACACACCCAUUCCCAUUCUGUCCUGUGGUAGCACCUCCCCGGAGUGGUACAGGUUUGGAUGUUCUGAGUUACUUUAUAUCAAAGAGCUAAUUAAAAACAGUCCUUUAAAAACAUUAAGAAAAACAGCUUGAAAAUAACGCUAUUUUAUUUUUCUAUUUUAGUCUUCCCCAAACUGCCACCAUGGUGGCAAGUGUGGAUUCUACUUUUAAGCCCCACUGACAGCAAACAACACAACUUUGCCUGAUGUGGGGGCCAGGAGGAUGCCCAGCUCAGCCUGUCGCCGGCUCACGCAGCAGCCACAGGCCGUGGAUGCACCUCAGCAGCAGGCCAGGGGCUCCCAGCUCAGGAAUGAAGCCCAGGGCCCCCAGAAACUCUCUGCAAAAGGACCCGUACCCCUAAGUACCGAGAGCGUCCUCAACUGGCAUCUCCGUGCAGUUCUGACCCUCCAGCCAGGAACUACGACAACAUCAAGCUGAACCAGGAGGCUGUGUGCCCAGAGGAAAAGAACAAGGCUCACAGUUCCCCAAGUGGCAGCUGACGGGUGGAGAGGGCAGGAGUCAUGGACCAGCAGGGCAAACGUGCAUGCGACACAGGAGCGCAUGCUCUGCGAGGAUGCGGCGUCGCCGGCACCCAGUUCUGGCAAGGCCAGCUUAGGUCCCCUGCCACUGGCACGAAUCAGGUGCACGGCCGCUCUGGAAAUAGCCCAGGUGCCUCAGAGGUUCACGAGCUCCAUGCCUGUCAUGCUGCGAGCACCUAGCUGGCUCUUCCUCCCCAAA